rnacentral:rRNA from 1 species
UUUGGAAAGAAAAAAUAAAAACUAAACUAGUAUUAGUUAUAUACUUUAAAAUUAAAAAAUUUGGCGGUGAUUUAAUCUUUUCAGAGGAAUUUGUUUUUUAAUCGAUAAUCCACGAAAAAUCUUACUUGUUUUUGUUUAUUAUAAAUUCAGUUUGUAUACCAUCAUUAUCAGAUAAUCCUAAAAAGGAAAAUUAUCAAAUAUAAUUAAUUAUCAAAAUUAGAUCAUGGUGCAGCUUAUAAGCAAGUUAAAAUGAAUUACAAUAAAUUGUUUUAAAUGAAUUGAUAGAAUAAUUUUUAUUAUGAAGGAGGAUUUGAUAGUAUUAUAAUUUUAAUAAGUUUAUAAGAUAAUGGCUCUAAAUCAUGUACAUAUCGCCCGUCGCUUUCAUUUAUAAAUGAAAUAAGUCGUAACAUA